AUUGAACGCUGGCGGCAGGCCUAACACAUGCAAGUCGAACGAGUGGCGGACGGGUGAGUAAUGUCUGGGAAACUGCCCGAUGGCGGGGGAUAACUACGGGAAACGGUAGCUAAUACCGCAUACCAUCGGAUGUGCCCAGAUGGGAUUAGCUAUUAGGUGGGGUAAAGGCUCACCUAGCCGACGAUCCCUAGCUGGUCUGAGAGGAGGACCAGCCACACUGGAACUGAGACACGGCCCAGACGCCUACGGUAGGCAGCAGUGGGGAAUAUUGCACAAUGGGGGCAAGCCUGACGCAGCCAUGCCGCGUGGAUGAAGAAGGCCUUCGGGUUGUAAAGUACUUUCAGCGAGGAGGCGUUAAUUGCAGAAGAAGCACCGGCUAACUCCGUGCCAGCAGCCGCGGUAAUUC
rnacentral:rRNA from 1 species